rnacentral:lncRNA from 1 species
CAUAUGUUCAGACUGUCAUUUUCCUGUGUUAAGACAACUCAUCCCUGCAGUUACCUGUAGUCUCCACUGGGCAUCAGGAUUUCUUGUCGGUGCCCUAAACAGCAUGGGUUUUAGGACCCAGCAGGAGCAGGCUUACUUGUGCAGGGGGGAUUAAAAGGGGUGUUUACCCAGGUGAGCGGCGUUUUCUGUGUAUGGAUAGCAGUGGGAGAAGCAGCUGUCAGCAGAAGAGGGCGAUCGAUCAGCCACAGCAUGGCCUAUGGAGACACUGAACUGUGAGCACCAGCAGUGCACUGAGAGAGUGGGAUCAGUCCUCCAGAGGAGCGGUGUGUUGGGAGAUCGGGCUGUCGGCGCAAGGAGUGAGCUCAGACACGGUGUGAUCUGUAAAAGCGGUGCGUCUGCAGAAGAGUCCCUACGUAAUAAAGGAUUCCUUUUAAAGCCCUUGGUGAGCGGAAUGAGUUUUCACGGUGCUCUGCUAUGCUCAACAUCGAAAUGAAGGGGCAUUGAGAAGCAUCAGUCGAGACUCCAGCAUCUUGUUCUUUCAAACCCAAGGGCCGUUACACCUUGUGUACACUCAAAAUAAGGAAACUGGUGGGCUGUUACUUUAAAGGUGCAGUCUGCAACUCUUAUCAAAGUGACUUUUUGUCAUAUUCGCUAAAGCUGUCACUAUGUAAGGACGUCUUUUUACAUCAAAUUAGUAGUUUGUGUGAAAAAACCCCCACUUUUUUUCAUUAUAUAUAUAUAUAUAUAUAUAUAUAUAUAUAAUUUUAUUUUGUUUAAAUUACUGUGGUUCUUGUUAAUGUUACAUUUUUGAUACGUUUUUACUGUUUAAAUCUUUUUAAUUUACUGUAUUUAAUAUUCAUCUUGCACAGUUUUUUUUUUAAAUAAUUAGUUCAUGUUAACUUUGCAGUGUUUUGUUCAGGUAUUUAUCGUUAAGACUUUAAUAUAUAACAAAUCUAUUUAAAUAUAAUUCUUGGUGAAAUUAAUUCAAUUUAUCAGUGUU